AUCAAUAAAUAUCAGUCCAGUGAGCGUCUCAGACACUUUCAGAUCUUCCAGACUCUUUCAUUCACACCAGCUCAAGAACAACACAAAGGAUGAGAUCAGAGGCUCUUCUCUCGCUCCUCUUCAUUCUGGCUCUGAGUGACGCAGCGGAUCGACAGAACAACGACCGAUACGCUGAGUUCAAGAAAAAACAUAUUCUCCCAUCUGGUUUCCAAACUGAUGAUGAAAAUGCUUGGGAGAAACACCUAAUGAACAAUGGUCUCUGUGGUAGGACUCCAGUACAAUCCUUCAUUAAUGACAGUGAAGAAAAUAUAAAACAAAUCUGCAAAAGCUCUGGUACUAAAACAAAAGAUAACUAUUACAAAAGUAAUAAUCUCUUCCAAGUGUUCAAUAUUAAAAGUGAAAACAGUACACCAAAGAUGUUAGAAUUGGGGUGCAAAUUCAGAUGUACUACAGCCAAAUAUCAUGUAAUUGUUGAAUGCGAUAAAGACCUACCUGUGCACUUUCAUGACCAACACAUUGAAAAGAACAAGAAGCCAUACCCUUGCUAUUAUACAGCAUGAUUUGACUUUAUCACAGUGGGGCUUGAAAUGCUGCAUUCAUUAAAAAUGUUGCUAUGUCACAUGCAUGCUUAAGUGAUAUAAUUCAAGAAAUGUUUCAGAUUUAUUUGCAUUACGCAGUAUUAUAAAAUGAGCUGAUCAAAUGUAUGGCUCGAAAGCAAUGUCGCUUUGAAUAAAAUCUCCCAAAUGCAUGAAUGCA